CCUAGUAACGGCGAGUGAAGCGGGAAGAGCUCAAGCUUAAAAUCUCCAUGUUUUACAUGGCGAAUUGUAGUCUAUUGAGGCUGUUGUCAGCAUAGCGAUUUGGGAUAAGUCCCUUGGAAAAGGGCAGCACAGAGGGUGAUACUCCCGUCUUUGCUCAGAUUGUCUAUGUGUACGAUACGCUUUCUUUGAGUCGAGUUGUUUGGGAAUACAGCUCAAAGUAGGUGGUAAAUUCCAUCUAAAGCUAAAUAUUGGUGCGAGACCGAUAGCGAACAAGUACCGUGAGGGAAAGAUGAAAAGAACUUUGAAAAGAGAGUUAAAGAGUACCUGAAACUGUUGAAAGGGAACCGUAACAUGUCCAGUGUUGUAUCUUGUGCAUAUUUCAUUAGUGGAGUAAUUUACUGGUGCCCUGUGCAUGAGUGUGACGUCAAAGUCAGUUUGUAUGCUGCGGGAGAUGGUUAGCAAGGAGGUGCGUCACUUUUGUGUCAGUUAUACCUUGUUAUCUAGUAGCCGUGGUUGAGACUGAGGUGCCUACAACAUGCUUAUAGAGUAUAUUGUUGUCUCGUUAUUAUACCUGUUUGGAUAGCUUGCUAUGCUGAUGGUCUAUAGUGGCGAUUGAUGAUGGUAUUAACUUUUUGCUGUUCGGGACUUUGACGAAUGGAAUGU
rnacentral:rRNA from 1 species